rnacentral:rRNA from 1 species
UUAGCGAAAUCCAAUGGUUGGUGUCCCGGUGCUUAACAGGCCGGGCCCUUCCGUCAUCUCACACACCAUUGUGGAACCGUCGGGGGUUGGUUCUGCCUUCCCCCACUUUUUUAAACUCUGAAGUCUCAGUAUGAAGUUUAGGUGAAAACCAAAACACAACUUUCAACAAUGGAUCUCUUGGCUUCCACAUCGAUGAAGAACGCAGCGAAAUGCGAUAAGUAAUGUGAAUUGCAGAAUUCAGUGAAUCAUCGAAUCUUUGAACGCAUCUUGCACCCUCGGGUAUUCCUGAGGGUAUGUCUGUCUGAGUGUCACUUGAACUCUCAAGGUCCCUUUCCUUUAACAGGGUCUGGGUGCUUUGGAUCGUGGGCGCUUGCAGGCCUGGUCUGCUCGCCUUAAAUUGAAUGUGGUGGUCUUCUCUGAAGCCUGUGUCGGGUUUGACCUGGAGUGAUAGAAGUCUUUCGAGAUCUCUGGGGACGCCUUAGGGCGGCCUGCUAAGGUGGGAGGGAUUGCCUUGCUAGACUCAUCUGACGUUUUUGACCUCAGAUCAGGCAGGACUACCCGCUGAACUUAAGCAUAUCAAUAAGCGGAGGAAAAGAAACUAACAAGGAUUCCCCUAGUAACGGCGAGUGAAGCGGGAAGAGCUCAAAUUUGUAAUCUGGCCGGUCCCCGGUCCGAGUUGUAAUCUGUAGGUUCAGCACUGUGCCGGUCCUCUCAUGAGUUUGUUGGAAUGCAACGUCAAAGAGGGUGAGAACCCCGUUCUUGGUGAGGCUUCCGGUGCUCUGUGUGCUGUUUCCGAAGAGUCGAGUUGUUUGGGAAUGCAGCUCAAAUUGGGUCGUAGAUUCGAUCUAAAGCUAAAUAUUGGUGGAAGACCGAUAGCGAACAAGUACCGUGAGGGAAAGAUGAAAAGCACUUUGGAAAGAGAGUUAACAGUACGUGAAAUUGUUGAAAGGGAAACGCUUGAAGUCAGACGUGCCUAAGUGGGUUCAGCCUUUUGGUGUACUCCCGCUGGCAGGCUAGCAUCAAUUUUGGGGGUCGGAUAAGGGUUUGGGGAAUGUGGCAGUUUCGGCUGUGUUAUAGCCCCUUGCUUGAUACGGCUUCUGAGAUUGAGGACCGCGGCUCGCCUCGUGGCAGGGGAU